rnacentral:rRNA from 1 species
UACGAGUGCCCCAAGCGUUAUCCGGAAUCAUUGGGCGUAAAGGGUGUGUAGGCGGUUCUUUAAGUUUGGUGUGAAAUCUCCCGGCUCAACCGGGAGGGUGCGCCGAAUACUGAGGGACUAGAGUGCGGGGGAGGAAAGUGGAAUUCCUGGUGUAGCGGUGAAAUGCGUAGAUAUCAGGAGGAACACCGGUGGUGUAGACGGCUUUCUGGACCGUAACUGACGCUGAGACACAAAAGCGUGGGUAGCAAACAGG